rnacentral:lncRNA from 1 species
GUUUGAAAUACUAAUCUGUGUUACAAACAGGUGCUGAAAAAUGUACAUUAUCAGAAAAUAAUCAAUAAAUGUGUUUUAAAGUUACACCGGAUCAAUUAAAUCCAAAACAUGCACUACUUGUGAACUGUCAUCAAAAUGUCAAUUUCCUACAAUGACAAAAGAAAUUACAUUUUUGUACAUUCCAUCUCUAUAGAUGUUGUCUGUUUAACGUCCCCACCUAAAAAGAAAUAAAAAGACUAUCUUUUUCGUUAUUAUAAACCCGUGUCACGUGAUGUGGCGCGCGCGCUGUACCUAAAAUAAAAGAAAAACUUUCCAAACUAAACAUGAAACUUCUCCGGUAACAAUAAUAUAGACCCCAUACAGAAACAAACAAACAAACAAACA